rnacentral:rRNA from 1 species
UAGGGAAUCUUCCACAAUGGGCGCAAGCCUGAUGGAGCAACACCGCGUGAGUGAGGAAGGGUUUCGGCUCGUAAAGCUCUGUUGUUAAAGAAGAACGUGGGUAAGAGUAACUGUUUACCCAGUGACGGUAUUUAACCAGAAAGCCACGGCUAACUACGUGCCAG